rnacentral:lncRNA from 1 species
AGUUCCCAGUGUGUUUGCAAAGGUACCGUGACCAGAAGCCGGGGACACCCACCCCUUUUGCUUGAACGGUGAAAAGAGAACUCAGCUACUUCUCUAGGAGCUGUAACGGCAGAUUGCUUUUCCUUUUCUUACCAGGUUGCACAGAUUCCAUUCUGUGGGGAAAUUGACUGUGAGGACUGGAUCAAAAAGACAACGGCCAGGGAUCAGGAUGUGGAACCUGGUGCUCCAUCCAUGGGAGCCAAAAGCCUUUGCAUUCCUUUCAACCCUCUGUGUGAGCUGCAGCCAGGAGCCAUGUGUGUCUGUGGCAAGAAUCCUGCCAAGUUCUACACCUUGUUUGGUCGGAGUUACUGAUGGAUGAAACAGAAGCCUCUCCCGUCCUUUUUUUAAAACCAAUGAUACUAAGAUCUCAGAUACAGUUUUUCUUUUUCAUUUUUUAAAACUUCUAAAAAGGUCACAAAAUAAACAGCUAUUCUUAUGCCCAAAUUAACAGUGGAAAAUACUUUUCUGUAAACAGCCAGGGUAAUAAAAACCAUGAACUAAUUGU